rnacentral:rRNA from 1 species
AUUGAACGCUGGCGGCAUGCUUUACACAUGCAAGUCGAACGGUAACAGGCCGCAAGGUGCUGACGAGUGGCGAACGGGUGAGUAAUGCAUCGGAACGUGCCCAGUCGUGGGGGAUAACGCAGCGAAAGCUGUGCUAAUACCGCAUACGAUCUAUGGAUGAAAGCGGGGGACCGUAAGGCCUCGCGCGAUUGGAGCGGCCGAUGUCAGAUUAGGUAGUUGGUGGGGUAAAGGCCUACCAAGCCAACGAUCUGUAGCUGGUCUGAGAGGACGACCAGCCACACUGGGACUGAGACACGGCCCAGACUCCUACGGGAGGCAGCAGUGGGGAAUUUUGGACAAUGGGCGCAAGCCUGAUCCAGCAAUGCCGCGUGCAGGAAGAAGGCCUUCGGGUUGUAAACUGCUUUUGUACGGAACGAAACGGUCUGGGUUAAUACCCUGGACUAAUGACGGUACCGUAAGAAUAAGCACCGGCUAACUACGUGCCAGCCGCCGCCGUAACAC